UACAGGUAGUAAGAAAACUGGAAGA
rnacentral:piRNA from 1 species